rnacentral:rRNA from 1 species
UACGUAGGGUGCAAGCGUUGUCCGGAAUUAUUGGGCGUAAAGAGCUCGUAGGCGGUCUGUCGCGUCGGAUGUGAAAAUCCAGGGCUCAACCCUGGACCUGCAUUCGAUACGGGCAGACUAGAGUUCGGUAGGGGAGUCUGGAAUUCCUGGUGUAGCGGUGAAAUGCGCAGAUAUCAGGAGGAACACCGGUGGCGAAGGCGGGACUCUGGGCCGAUACUGACGCUGAGGAGCGAAAGCGUGGGGAGCAAACAGG